rnacentral:rRNA from 1 species
GAUGAACGCUAGCGAUAGGCUUAACACAUGCAAGUCGAGGGGCAGCAUGGUCUUAGCUUGCUAAGGCUGAUGGCGACCGGCGCACGGGUGCGUAACGCGUAUGCAACUUGCCUCACAGAGGGGGAUAACCCGUCGAAAGACGGACUAAUACCGCGUACACUCUAUGUUGGGCAUCCAAUGUAGAGGAAAUGAAAUUCGCUGUGAGAUAGGCAUGCGUCCCAUUAGCUAGUUGGUGAGGUAACGGCUCACCAAGGCGACGAUGGGUAGGGGAACUGAGAGGUUGAACCCCCACACUGGUACUGAGACACGGACCAGACUCCUACGGGAGGCAGCAGUGAGGAAUAUUGGUCGAUGGGCGAGAGCCUGAACCAGCCAAGUCGCGUGAAGGAUGACUGUCUUAUGGAUUGUAAACUUCUUUUAGACGGGAAUAACAAGAGUCACGUGUGGCUCCCUGCAUGUACCGUAUGAAUAAGCAUCGGCUAACUCCGUG